UUCCAGAAAAUAUUUCAAGCAGAAUAUACUUAUUUUCCAGUUUUGAAAACAACUAGAUUGCCCAUCUCCAUUUCUCUCUAUCAUCUACUGUAUUAUUCUAUGGACAACUGCCACCCUAAUAAGGUCAAAGGAAACCAUGAGAGACUGUCUAACUAGACUUUUUGCUUGAUUUCCUGGACCCAAGAGCAGGAGUGAGGAGCUUUCUCCUGGUAAUUUUGUUAUAGAGCAAUCAAUGAGCUUGCUUCCUCAUGCACAUGGAGGCCAACACCAUGACAAAGGCUUUUGAGAAAAGAAAAGCUUUAUGGAGACCUGACUGGCAAGGAAACAGAAGAAAAUUCUCAUUUCUGUCUCUCUGAGCUGGGGUCUGGACCAGAUUUUAUAUGCAUAGGGUCAAGAAGGGAAGCCAGAAGUCAAGGCCACAGAAGACACAGGAAACAUCAUUUCCAAAGUGGGAGACAAAGCUGUUAACAGGAAAUUAUUUGUAAAGUCAAGAGCCAAGCAAAACAGAAAAAGGACAAGAAAUCUAUCACCUGGAUUAGUUAUAAAUAAAGAACAUAUAGCCAGCUAAUUACCACAGCCACCCCAUCCUUCACACUGAAGCAAGACCCUCCACCAGCAAAAGGAUUAUGACUUGGUGAAGGCUCAGAUGAUCAUUAGCACUUUUAGCAACAAAGUAUUUUUAAAUUAAGGUUUUUUGAAACAUGCAACUUUAUGAAUCGCUUGUCUUCCUUGAGGUGCAAAAAGAAAAUACAAUAGGAGUCCUGAACCAAUUAAAUGAACAUCAUGAGUAGAAGAGAAAGAAAUGUGUAAGAUAGAUGGAGAUUGCUACCAAAUGUUAACAGCCCCAAAGACGGCUAUGUUUUUAAAGGAACUACAGUAUCUUAUCGUUCUGAUGGUCUGGAAGUUUAUAUUCACAUCCAAGAAUUCUUCCUGCUUCUCCGAAAACUCAUCCUUUGCUUUAUUACUCUUCAUGGGAAUAAGGAAACAGCUGUGCA
rnacentral:lncRNA from 1 species